AUGCAAGGGGGGAAAGUGCCUGCUCGCCUCUUUGUUCCCUCUCUCAUUGACGUAUUUACUGAUUUGUUAAGUUUGUUCCUUCGUUCCUUUGUUCAUUCGUUCUCUAGCCGCCUCUUCCUUCGCCCCGGCCCCCGACUCCAACUCCCCCGAUGCCCCGGCGAACGAAUGUCCCGUGACUCUCUCUUGGGUGGACUGAGAUGUACUUCUCGCAGACCUGGCGCUGAAAUCCGUCGCGGUUGUGGUUGUAGACUGACUGCAGUCGGUCACAGAAGAGGCGAGCCAGGCCGCCCCGGCGGGGGCGGGGCAGCGUCCCUUGACUUCCUGCUUCCGGUGCGCAUGCGCUCGGCGACGUUCCUGGUCCGUGAGGAGGAAAGAUACGGAAGAAUAUUGGUUUGCUAUGUGCCGUGGAACCGGCCGCCUCAGUUCCAGUAUCUGGAGCUUUGCACUCAUCCACCCACGUUUGGACUCAGCUCUACAAUGUCCGUCAUGCGGCGAGGCCUUGGAAGUGGCCCGUGUGGUGUCUUCUGUGUGCCACCAGAUGAAUCGUGUCCUGACAAACCAGCCUCUUAGCAGCGGGUAGACAGACAGACAACCCCUUUGCAUUGCUCUACGUGGUUGAGAGAGAUUGGGCUCUUUAUCUAGCUAGAUGACUUGUUUCUAUCUCUCUGUCCAAAGCCAAGGUCAGCAUAGUCCCCAGCCCGGCCAGGUGUGCUUGGUCUAUACCUAUAUGUAGCCCUGCCCCUGCAGUAGAUAGCCCUGCCUGCUUUCCUGGGUGAGUGUCCCUGUAGGGCUUGUGUUUGUUUGUUUCCCACAGUAAUGCAACAGCUCCCUGGUGGGCAGUAGAUAUAAGGAGCUGAGAUCAUCCGUUGUUGGAUGGCUGCAGGGCCAUGCUCUCCUCAGCCAGCCUCCUGAGGGGCUUCCCACCCACCUGGGUGGGUGGGUGGUGUGUGAAGAGAUUGUAGAAUAUGGCUGGGUGAGGGAGGGGUGCACCUUUCCAGCCAGCCAGCCAGCCAGCCAGCCAGCCAGCCAGCCAGCUAGCUAGCCAGUUAUUUAACGUUGUGGACACUUAAGCUAUCUGUCCAGAUGGGUGGUCUCUGUCAGGCCUGCCUCUGAGGUCUUGCUGACCGAGAUGUGCUCACUUGCUCCUUCAGACUAAAUAAGGCAUGUGUGUACUUAGGUGGAUGUUGUUGAUUUUGUUUUACCAGGGAUUGGAUGCAGCAGAGUGCCAAAGCUAUGUCUAUUUCUGUGUCUCUGGACCUCCCUUCCUGACUUCUGAGAUUUUGAGUCAAAGAGUUCUCGUCUGGAGAGACUGGAUUUGAAAAGGAAGGAUGGACAAGAAUGAGAGGCAAGGCGUCUCAUCAUUUAAUUAAUUAAAUUCCUCAUUUAUCCAGUUAUUUAAUGAUUGAUCAAGUUCAUUUCAAGGUGGUAGACAGAUUGGUUUACAUACAUGAGAUACUGAGAUCAGGAAGACAAAAAUAAAUCAAGCCAAGCCAGGCCAUGAAAAUGACAGCUGAGAGAUGAAAAAGAAGGGCAGACAGUAAGUACAGUGGCAAGAAGACAGAGCAGCCAGAAAAGACUGGCUGGGCAGCAGGAAAGAGGCCGAGAGUGAGUGAGGUGCGAGGGGUGGCCAGGAGCCCGAAGUGAGCAGCCAGGAGGAGAGGGAGGGCGGGAGGAAGGAGGGCCCCAAGUGGCUCGAGUGGCUGGACAGAAGCGGUCAGAGGUGGCCCACGGUGGCCAGCCAGCAGCAAAAGCCGCCAGAGGCUGGACCCUGCCUGCCUGCCUGCUGCCUGGCUGGCUGGCUGGCCGGCUGAAGCCUGAAGCCUGAAGCCUGAAGCCGAGACAGGGAGAAAGAGAAAGAGCAAGCCAAAAGAGGCAAAGGGGAUGGAGAAAAGCAAAGGCAGAGUGAAAACAGGCAAGUGGCCCUGACCACAAAGCAGAGCGAGAACCAAAGAUGGCCAGAGGGCUAGAGGACAGCAGAGACAGACACAGACACAGACAGAGACAGACAGAGGCAGAGAGAGACAUGCAGAGAGACAGAGAUGCAAACAGAGUCAAAGGCCCUGAGAAAUGCACGGAGAGGGGGCAAGGGGGCGGAUAGGCGGUAAAGGGGAUAGGACAGGGUAGGAGGAUGAAAACGGGGAGGGAGCAGAGAGAGGCAAAGGGACUGAGGCAUGUUUGUGUAGGACAGAAUGUGGGAAUCCAAGCAGCCAGACUGAGGCAGAGGCGCACAUCUGGAAUCAACUGAGCUGAGCUGAGCUAACCCCUAAACUAAUCUGAGUAUGUUAGGGUUACAGGUGGGGAUCUGUGUGUGUGUGUGUUUGUUGUUAUGGUGUGUAAAAUAGUGGGGAGGGAGACAGUGAAAAGAGACAUGGGUGGGGCCACAUAAACAGCUGAGAGCCAGCCCCCAAAAAGAGCAGGGGCAGGAAAAAAAGCAGAGAUUGAAAAGCAGCUGAGGAAAUGGAGAAAAGUGCCCACAGCGGGCCCUGAAAACAAAAGCAGAUAGAACCAAAAAUAGGAAAAUGUCCCCAGGACAGCAGAGAUGGAGAGAGAGAGAGACAGAGAGAGAGCAGGCAAAGAGGCAAAGGGGAUGGAGAGAAGCAAAGACAGUGAAAACAGGCAAGGGAUCCCAGAAUCAGAAGCAGAGAGAAGCAAAAAUAGCCACAGGGCCAGAGGAAGGCAGACACACAGAGAGACAGAGACAGCUAGAGAGAGAGAGAGAGACAGAGACAAAGAGAGAGAGAGAGAGAGAGAGAGAGAGGCAGAAAGAGAUGCAAAAGGAGUCAAGGGGCCCCGAGAACAUCACAGCGAGGGGGCAGGUGGGUGGUAAAAGGGACAGGACGGGGGAUCAGAGAGGCAAAGGCACUGAAGGGCGUUUGUCUAGGACAGAUGUGGGAAUCCCAGCAGUGAGAUACUGGCAGAGGCGCACAUCUGGAAUCCACGGAGCAGAGCUGAGCUGAGCUGAGCUGUGUGUGUUAGGCUCACAGGUGAGGAUCAAGGCAUGGGGGUGUGUGUGUGUGGUGUUAGGGUCUGAGAGAAAGCGGGGAGGGAGAGAGCGAAAAGAGGCCUGAGGCCAGCAAAACAGCUGAGAGACAGCUAAAAGCCAGGGCCAGGUGCAUGGCAGAAAGCUGAGCGAGAGAGAGUGAAAAGAGGCCAAGGGAAUGGAAAGCCGAGAGUGCAAAAUGGCCCCAAAAGACCUUGAAAACAUCAGCAGAGAGAACCAAAAGUAGGCAAAGACAGAGACAGAGAGGAGGCAAACGGGACUCAAGUGGGUUUGUGAAUGAUCUAGGAGUCAGUCCUAGCGGUGGCCCAAAGGAGAGAGACAUUCGGAGUAUAGUUAGCCCAGCCGAGCCGAGCCCAGCCAAACUGCAUGUGCUAGGGUUAUAGGUGAUCAUCAGGGCAUCUGUGUGUGUUGUUAGAGUUAGGGUGUGGAUGGAUGGAUGGAUGAGGGGGGAGUACGUGUGUGUUGUGAACCUGCACUGAUCGGUGCAAAAUGCGAGUCCAGGAGGCUGGGAAGCUUAAGUAGCCAGACCUUAACACUCUCUCCGGGUUUUUUCCCCCUAUAGGGCUCUUGAUCCAAGAACCACCAAACCAGAGAGAUAUCACGCUGGAAAUGAGAUUCAGCUACAGUCUGACGUGAAUUUACGCUCAGCAUCUGACAGACUGACACCCCCGUCUCCCCGUCUCCCUUGGGGUUGAUUUUUCUCUCCUGUGUGUGUGGGGGGCAUUAAGGGGGCACGGCUCACCCUGCUCACUGUCUCUGUCUGCUUUUCUCAUGAUACUUGUACAGUGAGUGCUUUUGCUGUGUUUCAUGAUGUUACCUUUGGAACAGAGAAACACAGUAAAUUUUUCCAUGGGGAAAAAUUCUACCAGAGUCUUGAGUUGUUUCUUUGGUUGAACAGACAGAGCACCUUCCUGGGUGGGGGCCAUCUAAUCCUGCAUCAGAGUGGACAUUCCUUGGGAGGUGUGGGG
rnacentral:lncRNA from 1 species